UACGAAGGGGGCUAGCGUUGCUCGGAUUGACUGGGCGUAAAGGGCGCGUAGGCGGUUUGCAUAGUCAGACGUGAAAUUCCUGGGCUUAACCUGGGGGCUGCGUUUGAUACAUGCAGGCUUGAGUUCGGAAGAGGGUCGUGGAAUUCCCAGUGUAGAGGUGAAAUUCGUAGAUAUUAGGAAGAACACCGGUGGCGAAGGCGGCGACCUGGUCCGAUACUGACGCUGAGGCGCGAAAGCGUGGGGAGCAAACAGG
rnacentral:rRNA from 1 species